rnacentral:rRNA from 1 species
GACGAACGCUGGCGGCGUGCUUAACACAUGCAAGUCGAACGGAAAGGCCCUUCGGGGUACUCGAGUGGCGAACGGGUGAGUAACACGUGGGUGAUCUGCCCUGCACUUUGGGAUAAGCCUGGGAAACUGGGUCUAAUACCGAAUAGGACCACGCGCUUCAUGGUGUGUGGUGGAAAGCUUUUGCGGUGUGGGAUGGGCCCGCGGCCUAUCAGCUUGUUGGUGGGGUAAUGGCCUACCAAGGCGACGACGGGUAGCCGGCCUGAGAGGGUGACCGGCCACACUGGGACUGAGAUAGGGCCCAGACUCCUACGGGAGGCAGCAGUGGGGAAUAUUGCACAAUGGGCGCGAGCCUGAUGCAGCGACGCCGCGUGAGGGAUGACGGCCUUCGGGUUGUAAACCUCUUUCAAUAGGGACGAAGCGCAAGUGACGGUACCUAUAGAAGAAGCACCGGCCAACUACGUG